rnacentral:lncRNA from 1 species
CACAUAUUGUCUUACUUUAUUCUCACAACAACCUCAUUUGAUCGUAUUUUUAUCUACACUUUACAGAGGAAGAAGUGGAGGGGAGGACAGUACGUUGUCUUAGGUCACACAGCCAGUGGGAGACGGACAACACCAGCUAUCUGACGUUAAAGCCCAGACCUUUGAAGAUGGUACUGCUGUAAGUUUGGGCCUUCAACUAGCUUAUGCUGAGCAAGAUGCUGAGGGGACUUAUUCCCAAGCCAGAGAAGACUGCACUCCGAGGCCUCCCACCCCUGGCCCACAUCUUCCAGAUUCUAGAACCUUUGGAGUAACAAAUGCAAGACAGAACUGGCCCAUCACCGUGAAAUCAAGCCACUAUUUACCUCUAUUCAAUG